rnacentral:rRNA from 1 species
AACGAACGUUGGCGGCGUGGAUUAGGCAUGCAAGUCGAGCGAAUCCCCGCAAGGGGGGAAGCGGCGAAAGGGGCAGUAAGGCAUGGGUAACCUACCCUGGGGACUGGGAUAGCCCUUCGAGAGAAGGGGUAAUACCGGGCGACGUGCCGGAGAGGCAUCUCUUUGUCACCAAAUGAAUUUCGCCCUGGGAGGGGCCCAUGUGAUAUUAGCUAGUUGGUGAGGUAACGGCUCACCAAGGCGAAGAUGUCUAGCGGGUGUGAGAGCACGACCCGCGCCACUGGCACUGAGACACUGGCCAGACACCUACGGGUGGCUGCAGUCGAGGAUCUUCGGCAAUGGGCGCAAGCCUGACCGAGCGACGCCGCGCGUGCGAUGAAGGCCUUCGGGUUGUAAAGCACUGUCGAGAGGGAGAAAAGCGAAAGCUUGAUCUAUCUCUGGAGGAAGCACGGGCUAAGUUCGUGCCAGCAGCCGCGGUAAUAC